GUCCUUUUGAAUAUUAUUUAAGGUUGAGUCUGCCCACUGAUUUUUUUAAAGGCUGCAGUAUUUUGACUGUACAAAGGUAGCAUAAUAAUUAGUUUUUUAAUUGAAAGCUAGAAUGAAUGAUUUGAUGAGAAAAAUACUGUCUCUUUUUUAUUAUAUAAAAUUUUAUUUUUAAGUUAAAAAGCUUAAAUUUUAUUAAAAGACGAGAAGACCCUAUAGAGUUUAAUAUAAAUUUUUUAUAUUUAUUUAUUUUUAUUAAUUCAUAUUUGGAAAAUAUAUUUUGUUGGGGUGACAGAAAAGUUUAUUAAACCUUUUUAUAAUAAAAACAAUUUUAAUUGAAUUUUUGAUCCUUUAAAAGAUUAUUAGAUUAAAUUACCUUAGGGAUAACAGCGUAAUUUUUUUGGAGAGUUCAUAUCUAUAAAAAAGUUUGCGACCUCGAUGUUGGAUUAAGAUUUUACUUAAAUGUAGAAAUUUAAACAAUAAGUCUGUUCGACUUUUAAAAUCUUACAUGAUC
rnacentral:rRNA from 1 species